GAAACACCUGAACUCAACGUGUCCACAUACUUUUGUCCAUAUAUGUAUGACGACAUUCAACCUGACCUCAAAAAUAGAACUAAACUAAAACAGAUUUCAUGUAGAUCUGGAGGAUUAUUCCAACAUCCCAGGAAGCUCAAAAUCCACAACAUGGUCUGUGAAGUUCUGAACUCCAGGAGCAAUGACUGGAACGACCCAGAUAUGUUUUACCUCUGUCGUCAUUUCAUUUUUCAUCCUAAAAAAAAAAAAAAAAAAGUCCCAAACAAAAAGAAAAGCACCGAAAAAAUGGAAAAGCACAAACAUGUCUGCUGUCACUCCUGCUUUAGGUGCAUUUAAAAGGUCAGAUAUGAGGACCGACCUGAUGUAAAGCAGUAUUUUGUGAAGUAAUCAACAGAUGAUGUAGUUUUUAUUUUAAUAGAUGAUGUUUGUUUUCCACAGACGUCAUGUGACAGAUUGUGAUGGUGUGAAAAUGUCAAAUGCUUCAGAUACAGGGGAUAAUUAGGAUAAGAAGUUUGUUUUUGUGUUUGUUUUUUCUCCCAGGUCCAUCUUCUUCCAUUAUUUCCAUGUUGUUUGAACCAUGUCAGUGUCUUCUAGUAUUUACUUUUUCUUUUUUCUUCACUGCUCUUGCUGUGGCCCUGGAGCGGUGGAGCAGUGCUGUGCCUUAGCUGUGCUCCUGUUUUUAGGAAAACCUUCUCUGAAAGCAUCAAAAACUGUCUCCAAUGUCCAAAAACCAAAAAAAAAAAAGAUGAAAGAAUGGUUGUGAAUGCCUUAUACAUGAUUUUAGUGGUUUUGAAGAACAUUUUUGGAAAUAAAAACAGACUCUCAUU